UACAGAGGGGGCAAGCGUUGUUCGGAAUUACUGGGCGUAAAGGGCGCGUAGGCGGCCCGCUAAGUCGAACGUGAAAUCCCCGAGCUCAACUCGGGAACUGCGUCCGAUACUGGUGGGCUUGAAUCCGGGAGAGGGAUGCGGAAUUCCAGGUGUAGCGGUGAAAUGCGUAGAUAUCUGGAGGAACACCGGUGGCGAAGGCGGCAUCCUGGACCGGCAUUGACGCUGAGGCGCGAAAGCGUGGGGAGCGAUCCGG
rnacentral:rRNA from 1 species